GCCUCGGUAGUCGAAAGGAUAAGAUGCUUGCCCGAUAAGCAGGAGAUCCAGGUUCGAUUCCUGACUGAGGUG
rnacentral:tRNA from 1 species